rnacentral:rRNA from 1 species
UACGUAGGGUGCGAGCGUUGUCCGGAAUUAUUGGGCGUAAAGAGCUCGUAGGCGGCUUGUCGCGUCGGAUGUGAAAGCUCGGGGCUUAACCCCGGGUCUGCAUUCGAUACGGGCAGGCUAGAGUGUGGUAGGGGAGAUCGGAAUUCCUGGUGUAGCGGUGAAAUGCGCAGAUAUCAGGAGGAACACCGGUGGCGAAGGCGGAUCUCUGGGCCAUUACUGACGCUGAGGAGCGAAAGCGUGGGGAGCGAACAGG